ensembl:snoRNA
UUCUUCAUUUCUAGAAAGUAACCACAGUGCACACAAGAAGACAAGUAACUGCCCUAGAUUGUAGAUACUGAGGUGGAUGUCUUUCUUAACGUCCAGUGUCCUUUGUCUUAAGAUUUGGUGCAAUAUAU